rnacentral:lncRNA from 1 species
UUUGUUUUGAGACUAGCUAGUCGCUAUGGUUUGCGGGAAAACUCUUCUCUCUCUGGUCUCACUUCGAGUCCUUCUAGAAGUAAAUAAAGGAAAUGCUUAUUCAACUACGGCACUGUCGGACAACCGACCGGAUUCAAGCCCUAGCCCCUCAACUCGGACGGACUUGUGGAAAUCCUCGAAAACAAGUAUUGCUCAACUCACCUAUCUAUAACAUAGAAAUGUUGCAUCCAACCCUGGAACGAGAGGUAAAGAAUAGGCUACCAUACGAGAUGAGACGACUUCACUCUUGGCUUUCAUCCCUACGCUUAAGAAAGAUAAGGGAUUGGAUUUCAUACCUUUUAUUUAGAGAUCCGUCGUUCCGACUGGAAAAUGUAACCUUCCACCAUACGUAAACCAAACCUCUUUGCUUUCUGGCUUUUCCUUCCUAACAAGGAGGCGGGAUUUUGAAGUUCCUUUUUUCCUUUUUGCUCUUUUUCUUUGAAAGCUUUUUCCAAAUUCUAUGGCAGCAAGAUUAUUUGCUUUUGCUAGAAAAAAGCACAUUUCUUCCUAGUACUUUGAUUUUCUUUUUCACCUUGGGUCUUGCCCAUAGGAAAGAUACGUAGCUCGGUCAGGGCAUAUCCUAAAGCCAUUGCCUCCAGCCAGUAGUAGUGGUAGGUAAGCAUCUUAAGUUAGGGGUGAAAUUGCUUUUCUGACAAGGAAAGGGAUUGUAGGCAAGCCCGUAGAAUUUCCUCUUACCUCUUCUCUUCUUUUAUUACAGCAGUGGUAGUCUCAAUAGUUCCAUUUCCAGUGCUUUAUAAGCCCAUGCAGUUAUUAAAAGUGUUAAGUAUAGCAUCUUUCUUAGGAUGUACUUUUUGAUCUUCCCUUGCAGUCUAUGCUUAUUGGUUAGCUAGUGUCAUUGGCCUUCGGCUUCUUACCCUUCUGGUUAGGUUAAAAAACUAUAUGUCUUGUUUUUUCAAUUCUCCUGUAAAGUCAAUAAAGCGAGAAAGAAGAUCUCUCAAGGACUACGCAAGCUCGUCUAUAUUGCAUCAAGAGCUUCGACUUUGAUUGCAUUGCCAGCAGCGGAUGCUUUCACAGCAAAUGAAAUACCAAUUGCCGUUCUUUUAAGAAGUUCCUUGCCUUACUAAUGUAAUAGUUACAGAAAGCUCUUCCUUCCCCAUCCGCCCUUUUCGGUUUAAUUGAAUAAGACCGGCCCGAGCCAUACUUCUAAUUAUCGAGGAUACACAGAUGGCUGCUGCUUUUAUUUUCACCUGCGGUUCUUCUUCUUAUUUAAGGGAUCAAAAGUAUCUUCCUCAAAAAGGUCCUUAACCCCUUGACCUAGAAUAGAACCAAAUUUAGCUAUCACCUAUGAAUCCAUCUCAUAUAUUCCAUAUUAUGCCUUUCUCAAAGUAAAAAAGCAAAAGUUUCUAGCCUCCAUCAAGGGAAAACCUUUCAUAUCUGCGCACAAAAGGCUUCCGGUUGUUUGAUCAAGAGAGCAAUUCAAGCUGCCAAGUAACCAAUUCAUCCCCUUAUUCCCAAGUUCUUAUUAGAUUGUUUGCCAACUUCAAUUGAAGUCCAGGAAAAUUCCCUUAUCUAAGGGAUAGGUCUGUUUGUUUUAAUUAACGAAUCGAGCCCCUUGAGUCCCUAGCAGCCUUAAGCCCAUAAGCUACUUCCUUUAUUUUCUGAUUGGAAUUCAAGUUGGACUAGAUCGUUGUUAUUGUCCGCAAGGGAUGGGAAAUAGGACCUUUAAAUCAACAAUGCAAGUAAGGGCUGAUUAACCUACUUAGCUUUCCAAAAUCGUAAGGGUUGGGGAAACGAUUUCUUUCGGGAAGAUAGUUAUUGGAAUUAUGAUGAUAGGAAUUUCUUAGAUUCUUUUCUGAUAGAAAAAACACUUUCAUGAAGGAAGAUACCUAUAAAAGUGCUCAGUUCAAUCAGAAACCUAUUCUUCAACUACCGUGCUCUGUUCAGUUCAAGAUUUGUUUUCUCUCGGGUUCGGUUCAGUUCCUGACCCCUAUUGUUUGUUCAAUCACUCCAAUCAACCUUCCCUUUUUUGCUUCCGCUGAGGAGAAAUUGAGAAGAGAAGGGUUGUGGCAUUCUUCCCCUAAAAGGUGCACAUCCAUCGAUUCCCUCAUCUAGUGUAGUGCUCUGUUCAGAGACCAAGGAAGCUAUUAGUUUGAGUUCCUGAUUUCCCUGUUGCCGACUAGAUUGCUUACCGACUUUCAUGAUGGAAGAAGAUACCGACUUGAGGGAAGGCAGUACAGAGCAGCAGCCUAGGGAUAAGCAGGAAUUCAGGUUAGCUUUUCUGUUUUCCGAAUCUUACCCACCUGAGAGUCCAAGAAAGAAGGCAAAACAGCUAUAUAGAGCCCCUCCCUCGAGUCGAGCAAUGAACAAGUAAGUAGAGAAAAGGAAGAGGGGAAAUGCAGUAUCGUUAUGUUAUAGCAAGAUCAUCAGAUCAUGGGUGAAGCAAUCGAUCAUCAAAAAGUUCUUUAUCAGCCGGCGGAAAGCGUGGUAAUUCAUUCAUUUCAUCGGAAAAGGAUCGAACAGGAGUCAUCGCAUCGUUUCUAGAUCUUCGAUACCUCUAUAUUCUGAAGAAUAGGUCCUAAAAUGGUCAAUCGAUUGUUUUCUCAACGGGAAUCGAGGAAAUGGCAAGGGUUUGAGUAUAGCGAGCAGAGGAAUAGUUUCCUUUAUCAAAAGAAGCCUCUCGACUUGGAAACAGAAGAUGUUGUAACUUAACUGCACCCUUCCUCUUUCUACUGACCUCCUUGUCUGAUCCUGAAUUCCCUUUCAAACUACUUUCUUGCCUUCCUUGACCAAUGUUAUGGAUGGUGCACUGGUUGAGAAAAUAAUUGGCCCUUCCUUCUUAUAGCAACAAAAUCCAAUCUCCCCCUCAUACGAACCUACCUCCAUGACUUUCAUGUCAAACUGAAACUCCUUCCCUUGCAUUACCCAUAGCAUGCCAUCACAUUUGUGCUCACAAUACAUCUUAGCGCCAUUUGCUACUGUGAUUUCCAUAGGUUUAUACGGAGUUGAGUCGUAACCAGCCCGCUUCACAAUCUUUGGGGUCUACAAAACAGUGCGUGCUGCCACUAUCAACCAAGGCAAUCACUGGCACUCCGUUUACCUGGUAUCUCUGUCCAUAGUCGUCUCCUAUUUUGGAAGACUGAGACUUGCGACACAGCAGCAAUAUUAUUCAAAUAACAUGUCAUUCAAACGCAGCGCGCCUUGUUAAUUGCUCGUCAUGUAAGUGAAUUUACGAAUAGGGAGCCCAGGUGCCCAACAAGUGAACUAUUUCCUCCUCCAGGAUUGUUGCUUUCCUUCUAUAGCCUCACGUAUGAAAAACGUGUGCCUUAUAGAGGGCUAGGCCACAAAUACAUAGCAUAGAUAACAAGGGUUUCGCCAAAGUAGACGCUCAAGCGAAACAUUCCACUUAUCGAAGAAGGGAUGCAGGUAUUUCAAGUUCAAGAAGUAGGCAUUGAUCCCAAAGAAUGUAGUGAAAAUCUAGGCUAGGAGAAAUGCGUCAGAGCCGAGGUCAGGCAAAAGGUUGCUGGAUCUUUAUGUUGGCCGGAAGUUAUUUCUUUUCAAUGAGGUUCAAUGUUCUCUAGAUUGCUUAGAAGUAGCCUGCCUUACUCGAGCCAACUAGGAUCAGAAGGUGUUGAUAGGGCUAGACUUUCUCUCAUGGGCGUGACCAUAUUAAAUAAAGGGUCUUUUCAUCGCUUUGGCCUGGCACUCGAGUCAACAGUUAGAAAUAGUUCCUUCGACCCUGAAACCCGCGGAAGAAACCUUAGGUAAUGAUUGGCUUCUAACGAUGAAUAAAAUAGGUAUGUUUCUUAACACCGCGGUCUGACUUCCUAUGAGUCAAGGUACGUAAUUCCAGUUCGAGACUGUUAUUGAAGUCGUAAACAUCCGGAGGAAUAGAAUCUUCAAAUCAUUAGGGAAGGAAUGGAAUAUAGUGGUAGUCCCUUUGGCGCCAAGAAACAGAGGAAUAGGUUUCGUUGAGAUCUGCAUUCCUGAAUUGAGUAAAGUACGUGUAUGACCCAGAGAAGUGAAGGUGUUUGCCAGAUCAGAUUUGACUUGGUGCUGUCUCAUCCGAAAAGUAUGCUUGUUUCAAUCUAAUCUCAAAACACGAUUGUGUUGGUCUUCAGCUGCCAAUGAAUAUGGGUAUUCCUGGCUCAAGGAGCAGAAAGUCUCUAGUUUUCUCGCACGAGUAGAUCAUCUUGUUUCCCUAGCCAGGAAAGUCUGAUUCAACAGAAUAUCCAGGGCUAUGGUCUCUAAUGGAUGGUACCUCGCUCAAUUGAAGCUUAUGGGAAAGCAGGAGUCAUUGUCAUAUCAACAGUCAAACGCGAACCGCGCUUUAGUUGUCUACCUCUUUAGUUGCCUAACUCACUUAAGUAUGCCUACCUGAUCUCGGCUUCAUUAUCACAUAAAUGCCUGCUGAAACAAAGGAUUUUGGAGUGGCAGAGCUCAAGUAUCAUAUUAUCAUGGUGGUUACCAUUGCGCUAGAAAGCCAGAUGAGAAAGAGACACGAAGAGGUGGCAGGCGGAGGACGUUGAGAGCUAUCUUUUAGGAAUAGGAGGUCGCUUUGCGCUCUUGCUGCUUAUGCUAAUUUCAAAUUCCCAGAGACAGGGUUACUAUUUGAACCCACACGUAGAUCAGUUUAUGAUUCCAAUGUUCUAUCGACUGACUAAGUUGGUCCUUAAUUUCCAAUGAAGUUUUUAUUUUCUCGAGGGACGUAGCAAACUGUUUGGUUGGCUCCGAGCAUUAUAAAAAUAGAGUCCUGCCUGGACAAUGUUGAUAACGGGAAAUCUCUAACCUCCGUGGUGGGUGUGAAGAAGGGUACAGCUAGAAAGCGAGAGAAUAUCUUUAUGGAUAUGAGUCUGAGGCAGAAGUCUCUGAAUGCGGUCCUGACGAACCUUUUGUACCAGGAUCAUCACGAGACUCUGUUUCUGUGGUAGAUGACUCAAUAGGCAGGGCCUAGAACCUCUAAAGAGGGUGUGACCGAUCACCAGAUCACGAUCAAGAAGAGUCAAAGCUGUCUUACUAGCGCGAGCAAUCAUCCAACUAUGGUGGUUUCUCAACCGGUGGGUACAUUUCUGUUGCACAUUGUGAGUUCAUAUUUUCUUUUCUAAGAAACAAAAGUUCGAGCAGAUGCCGUUCUAGCAGGUACAAGAACUCCCGUUCGGUAGGCGUCUGCUUUAGCAAUGUCUUUGAUUUCCAAUCCUCGAUCAACAAUUUGAGGAAGACGAGACAGAAGCCUUUGGAUGAAACCAAUGAAUCUUCCGAUCCGAAAGACUAAGGGGCUAGGCGCUCACCUACUAUCUACACAUUUCCUCUUUGGCGUUGGCUCCACCAGUUUUGACUGCGAGUCGCUUUAGUUAUCUCAAAUCUUUGGCAGGAAGGGGCCAAGCCAAAUAGUGCUCUUUAGAAGCGUAAUCCGUGCUUGAAACUCCUUCGCUAGGAUCCAAAAACCUAUGCUUCCGCUCUGCCUCACCAGGCAAUGCUUACUCUUCUCGAUCAAGAGGGCUCUUUUGGAGACUUUGAAGCUCAAGGACACGACAGUGCUUGAAACAAAUGCUUUGUUUUGGCACCUUCGUCUUCCUUUCUAACAUUAGUAAAUUCGAGCUAAUGGGACCAGUUUUGAAUUGCCUAGAGGGUGGAGAAGUCACAUCAUCUGAGGUUUGUUGUGGGUUCAAUUAUGACCCCGGUCUAGAAGACGGAGUGGUUGCACGUGUAAGUACAUCAUGUUACAUAUCUAUUUUAAGCUAAGCUAAAUGCCUAAACUAAACAAUUUUAUAUUAAGCGCGGCAUCCUCUCUUCGGGGUUUACGCGUCCUAGUCCGAACCAUUGGAUCGAUCAGAAGAAGAAAGGCAAAGGAAUUGAAAGGUAGAGUAAGAAGCAUCGCCCAGAUCAAUGGAAAAUGGAAGUUUCUAGAAUUGCUGCUCUGUUCUGUUCAAGAAGUCUUUCUCCAGGGUUCGGUUCAGAAGGCGGGAUGGAAGAGAGAGAAUGGGCUCAUCGUGCGACAAGGUCGAUCGAUCACUCAAACUGUUCGGUAUCUCUACAAUUGAGUGAGCUGUGUUGCGAAGGAAAAUGAUGAAAUUGCUUACUUUUCACAGGCGUGAAUUCUAUCUUCGAUUAGAUAGUUUCCAUGCUUUUGAUAAAAAGAUGGGUUGGUAGGCAGGAUGAGAAGUUCAGUUAAAGAUUUCUCUCUGCUCAGUGAAGGGAAUAGCUUCCUUUUUCUUGGACUUGGGGUCAAGUAGUGGGAAACUAGAAUCCUUCGAUUCCCUCGUGUAGUGUUCUGUUCCAUAUUUGUGUAUCCAGCUUAUCCCGGUAUCUGCUCUGCUCCGUGAAGGAAAGGAAAAAGCUUUCUAUCUGCUUUCUCUGUAUCCACCUUUACUCGGUAUUCUGUUCCUGAUUUGCAUUUCACCACCUUAUCUAUUUCCUCCAUACUAAAAGGUUGAAUGAGGGCCUCAGCUUCUUCAUUAGAUAAGCACCCAGUGAUAUCCCAGAUAUCAUGCCGUAAGUGAACAUUGCUNNNNNNNNNNAUCUCCUUUCUUUGUAUCCACCUUUACUCGGUAUUCUGUUCCUGAUUGUCGUUUCACCACCUUACCUAUUCCUCCAUACUAAAAGGUUGAAUGAGGGCCUCAGCUUCUUCAUUAGGUAAGCACCCAGUGAUAUCCCAGAUAUCAUGCCGUAAGUGAACAUUGCUUCACUCUACUCUCCCAAAUCCACUUUCUAGUAUGAAGUGAUAUGCUCUCUUAGCUCUUUUGGAGAAUGUAUAGAUUUCUCACCAUCUUCCUUGAUAGAAAUGCUAUUCUUUCUUUUCCUCCCAUUUGCUUUUUUAUGGAAAUAAGCAGUGUCCCUUUAGCAGCCACUCUACUGUUCACCUCCUCUUUUCUGCCAAUAUAACUCUUCCAUCUCACAAAUUUGGACCAAUUGAGCUUCCAAUUCAUAUCUUAGCCUCCAUUCAUUAGGAUUUAGCUGUGUAGUUUCGGCUUUAAUAUCAAUGACAGACAUAUAGCAGUAAUUAGAUUGGAUUUACUUCUUCUAUUGUCAGUAGCAUCAUUUGNNNNNNNNNNUUGUAGUUUCAGCUUUGCUAUCAAUGGCAGGCAUAUAACAGUAAUUAGAUUGGAUUUACUUCUUCUAUUGUCAGUAGCAUCAUUUGCCUUCCACCCUCUCAAGAACUUCCUGAAGCCCUGAGACACUUGUUGCCAAUAGUCUGGAAUGGAACAUUUGCAACAGUUCUUGUAGGCCAUUUCUGUAACAGCAUAUCUCUAAACCCUUCUUGCGGAUGGUUCAAAACGAAACUUAGUGGCAGCCCCUAUCUUCCCCAUUUUCUAGAAGUAAAGGACAAUGAUCUGACCCAGCUUGCAAGAGGGAUAGUAAAACUUAGGAAAUAAAUCCUCAUAAGUUGAAGAAACCAGAACUCUAUCCAAAACUUCUCUCACUGGCCUGUCUUGUUUGUUAGUCCAGGCCACCAACCCUUCUCAGUUCCUGUAGUUUAGUUUCAGAUAUGAAAGCAUUAAAAGCUUCCAUCCUAUUAAUAUGUAUUCUGCCAUUGUUUCAUGAGCAAAUCUNNNNNNNNNNGCCCUCUCAAGAACUUCCUGAAGCCGUGAGACACUUGUUGCCAAUAGUCUGGAAUGGAACAUUGGCAACAGUUCUUGUAGGCUGUUUCUGUAACAACAUAUCUCUAAACCCUUCUUGCGGAUGGUUCAAAACGAAACUUAGUGGAAGCCCCUAUCUUCCCCAUUUCCUAGAAGUAAAGGACAAUGAUCUGACCCAGCUUGCAAGAGGGAUAGUAAAACUUAGGAAAUAAAUCCUCAUAAGUUGAAGAAAUCAGAACUCUAUCCUAAACUUCUCUCACUAGCAUGUCUUGUUUGUUAGUCCAGGCCACCAACCCUUCUCAAUUCCAGUAGUUCAGUUUCAGAUAUGAAACCAUUAAAACCUUCCAUCCUAUUAAUAUGUAUUCUGCCAUUGUUUCAUGAGCAAAUCUGAUCAUGUCCCGCAAAGGUAGAUCAACACUCUGCACAAAGUUAGUGAGCUCUGACAAAAACAUAGCUCUUAAAGACUGUUUGGUUGGACCAUAAACAUCCACCCAAGCACAAUUAUCACAAAGCCUCUAUACUCAAACACCNNNNNNNNNNUGCAAAGUUAGUGAUCUCUGACAAAAACAUAGCUCUUAAAGACUGUUUGGUUGGACCAUGAACAUCCACCCAAGCACAAUUAUCACAAAGCCUCUAUACUCAAACACCAUGGAGAAAUUGACCCUCCCCAAUGAGGUCUGCAUCCAUGACAUCCAGAUUGACUCCAAUAAGCAUUCCACCUUUACUGCCACUGGCUGGCUUGCAAAACCACUUGAAAAGCUUUCUGCCACCAAUUGCCAUUAACUCUUUAUCUGAGAACUGUUCUCUCUUAGUUUCUUGCACACAAACUAUGUCCACCCACUCUAUCACUUCAGAAGGUUGCCCCCUUCUACCUGGCCAGGCCCCUCACAUUCAAGAUUAGUGUCUUCAUGGCGGUAUCUGUUUUUUGUUAUGCCUCCUCUUAGCUCUGCUCGUAGUGUUCUUGUCACCAACUGGUAUACAAGUACUGUGAUUAUCUAACUCUUCAACAAUCUGAGUAAUAUCCUCAUUCUCUGAAUCAGAGCUUAACUCGACACUGGAAGACUGNNNNNNNNNNAUCUGCUCGUAGUGUUCUUGUCACCAACUGGUAUACAAGUAUUGUGAUUAUCUAACUCUUCAACAAUCUAAGCAAUAUCCUCAUUCUCUGAAUCAGAGCUUAACUCGACACUGGAAGACUGCUCCUUCUCAUGAGCAGCUAACUUCUUUUUCUGAGCAGCUUCAUAAAGCAAUGCUUGAGCAAGUUCUCUUGCUUUAAUAGAAUUUAUAGACCUGUCAAUUUCCUCCUGUGUACUGCCCAACACUAGACCACUAUCUACAGCAGAUUUUACUAGACUAGCAGAAUCAAUGGAAUUGCAAAUAGCAUAUCUGUUAGUAGAAGACAUACCUGGUUCAUCAAGAUUCUUGCGUGAAGCCAUCCUUUCUGCACGUUGCUGAAUAGGCAUGCCAUCCUUCGGGAUCCUAUCCUAGCACUUGUCCUCGUUGCUUUAAUUCUUGCGUUUGCACCUCAUUGAACUUCUCUUGUUCUUUGGUCAUUCCAGAAAAAACCUCCAUACCUUAAUAAUAGGGGCUUGUGUAUAAAGGAAAGCAGCAAACCGGUCAAAGGCGAAGCUGUUCUAUCUCAACUCUCUGACUUGAAGGAAGAUGUGGCGGAUCUCAAGGCUGGCUCUAUUCCAAGUACAAGUUUCGAGGUGAAAUGUGUUGAUGUGGCCAAUCGAUAUACAGUAUAGUUGAAUGGUUCGACAAGUUCACAUGCCGGAGCUACCUGUUCUCCGCGAUUCAAGUUGGUUCUUCUGCCCCGCUCCACCAGAAUUGUGCAGACAUCGACACUAGCUUCUGACAAGUACCCUUUGAUAACUGAAAACAGCUCAUGCUGUAGGUUGGCAUCGCCUGAAUGACUGCCUUUAUUAGCGUUUCCUUUCCAUGCAUGCGUUCUUUCUCUCCUCCCCUCAGCCACACAUCUUUUUCGUUCGCUCCCCAUUUUAUUCUCUAAGGAACCCUCUCCUUAAUGAGCGUAGAUUGAUGGAGAUGGCUUUUGUACCGGUCAAUCUUUAUAUCCUUUCUGGCAUAGUUUUGUAAAAGAUCGGCAGAUGAUCCGUCCUUUCUCCUCUGCCGUGGUUCAUGCAUUCUUCCUUUUUGGAAAGCGGAUAGGGAUCGGGUGAAUUAGAGAAUAGACAGACGUCCGUUGGCAUUUCAGCCUUUCUUCUCCUUUCAGGGCCUAUCCGAAAGAGAAUCCAGUACCUCUUGGUCCUAAAUAUCAGAAUAGGACGCGCAACAACGGAACAACAAGAGCAAGACCGCUCCAAACUAAAUCACAGUAGAAGUUAUGGCCACUCAGGCUGGACCAAAACAGCAAGCGGAAGGUCUCCGAAAGUCCUACAUUAGCACCAAGCCAUCCCCCAAGGGAGGGUAUAACGGAGUGUGGUAAAAUCCAGUUGCUAACGCUCCCGGCUGUGGGUUCUUCACAAUUAGCAGGGCUUCUAUUCUAGUACAGAGAUCACCACUUGUUAUGCCAGGGUCUCCUUUUUCGAGUUGGUUACUGUCUUGUUGAGCAACGUUUUCCCGGCAAUCUCCGCUUAUUAGGGUGGCCUCUAACAGGUCGGGAGAGUACUAAAAAUCUGGCUCAUACGCCUCGCAAGAUUGAACAUCUGCGAAAGUCGUCUCGAAGCUCUGACUCUCGAGAGAAAGUAUUGCCUACCAGUGACUUAUUUUACUGAAUAAGAAUGCCUACUGUACUAGCUUCUUUCUUGACUCCAUUAACUCAGUUUACAGAAAGGAAUCCGUCCAGUCCAGUAAGAAGGAAUAGAGAAGAAGAAAGUCACUCAUCAACUCCUACUUUGGUUAUUGAGACUUGCCCGCGUAUCUGACCUAUGUGUACCUAUUCCCUAGCCUAAGUAGCUUACCCACUGUCCUAAUAACUGUCUGUCAAUCCGGCAGCUUGCCCUACUGCCUAUCGACGCUACUGUCCUAAGUCUCCUACUCAUAUACCCAAGGUCAAAGACUUUGCAGGGCAACAAACUGAUUUCGGAAUUGCUUAACUGCUGAGAGCUAAUAUCGGGGAGUAGUAAGCCAGCCCACCACAAGAUGAAUGAGUGCUCCUCUCCUAUGCCGACUUACUAGCCAGGUUGAGCCUUUGAGCCAUAAGAGGAGGGAGAAUCUUGUUGAUUUUCCAGGGAAUGAUUAUAUGGAUUUCAAGGAGGAUAUUGUUACCUUCAUCAGAUUGAUUGAUAACUGGUCGUCGAUUGACAACUACUGCUUUUUCCAGUGAGAAAGGAAGGAGGAAGGGGAUCUCAACAAGCCAUGGAUAUAUAGCCUACAGCCGAGUCCACAAAGAAGACGGUUUCAAAGCUUGAAGAGCAUAUUUGUGAGGCUGAUCCCUAAGUGCAGAGUUUCAUGUGACGAACAACGAAACUCCAUUUCUUCAAACACAACCCUGUGCCACCGACAAACGUUUGACUUUGACUGUGUUUUUUUUGGGCUAUGAAGAUUCUACUUAUACCCAAUGAUGGAACAUUUUGAAAAUAUGUUCAACGGGAUCUUAAGAAAGGCAAAUUUCAAGCCUAUAGUUUUUAAGAUCAUCUCGCUAAUCGAAAGAUGAAGGAUGAUGAACACUACAUGGCUAGUGGCCUUAUGCAAACAAAGAAGAGGGAUGCCUAACCAAUUGAUCCUAAAAUAUCUUAUUUGAGAUAGGUCAGAUUGGACUUAGUGGCCAACGUUAGGUAUGGUAGAGUCAAUAUGGGAUGUGGAAUUCCAGGAAACAUUCUUAUCCGCGCUCACUAACAAUGUGAAAUUGGUCCUUAGUUUCCUCCAACUGAUUNNNNNNNNNNGUCUUAAGAAAGGCAAAUUUCAGGCCUGUAGUUUUUAAGAUCAUCUCGCUAAUCGAAAGAUGAAGGAUAGCGAACACUAGAUGGCUAGUGGCCUUAUGCAAACAAAGAAGAGGGAUGCCUAACCAAUUGAUCCUAAAAGAUCUUAUUUGAGAUAGGUCAGAUUGGACUUAGUGGCCAACGUUAGGGAUGGUAGAGUCAAUAUGGGAUGUGGAAUUCCAGGAAACGUUCUUAUCCGCGCUCACUGAUAAUGUGAACCUGGUCCUUAGUUUCCUCCAACUGAUUCCUGUUUUUUUGAGCCUUUUUCAGUAAGUCCUUAAUAGCUAAAAAUGCUUUGACUCUAAGGGUUACCUUGGUACCUUUAUUCGGAUAUGCUUCUUUUCGGACAGGAGGGGCAGAUUGACAUUCAGGCAAUGGCACAUGGAUUCUAUUGAGAAGGGUUGGCUGCUCUCGACGACGGGGUGGGGGAAUGAGAUGCUGGGAGAUGGGAGUUAUUGGUGGAUUGAGAGGGGAGCAGAUGCAUGGGCUAGUUCAAUCUUUUUGCUCCUGCCUUCCUAGCCUUAUGGACAGGAGUCCUCUGGCCUAGUCCUGAAACUCUUCCCGCAGCCUUCCUUGCCCUUAUUGCCCGGCAUACCUCGGAAGGCAUACCCUGGAACCAAUUCAUUCAUCUGCCCUCUUCGCGAUAAAGCUUUGCCUUACUUUGCUUGCUGGCUCUAAGCCCACCUCCUUUACUACACUACACCCUCUCACCGCCCCUAUUCAGCCCGAAAGGCUUCUAACUUCCCCGAAACCUUACUUAUUCAGGGCAAGAUUCGGAACUUAGGGUCACUGCCUUUCAUCCGCCUUUCUCUCAUAUGCUUAGAACCUAUCCAUAGAAAUGGAAUUCAAAACUUCGGAAUAGUUUCGAGGAGAGCCGAGAGGACAUGUUCAAGGAGUAGUGUAAAGUAGCAGACAGAGGGGCGCUCCCGCUUAGGCAUUAGGCAUUAGGCACGAGAAAGGACAUCGUUCUCGGCCGUCCCUUCCUUCCCGGAAAAAGGCUCUCUUGCAUCUUUUGCUUCCCCACCCGGCCUCUAUUCUAGAUUCACCGUCUUCGGAUGCAUCAGUUUAUUAUGCUUAUGCCUAAUCUUAAUACUGGCUAGUUACUUCAAUUACCUUACCCCACCGCCCCUCCUUUUAAGGAGGUUUCAGAGCACCCAGUCACAGCUCGUCACAAGAAAGGAUUGAUGGUCGAGUCCCCGUGCAUGAAGUCAGUGGAUUCGAGUGAACUGACCGUACUACAAAUCGACAUACUUGAGGAAGCUUCUUACUAAACCAAAGAAAGGGCAACUCCAGUUGUGUUGUCGAUUCCCUUCUCCCGAGAGCUUUCACACUCUGGGAUGGGAGUCCCUUCAAAGACUUGACCAAAAGCUCCCCACAAUUUCUUAAUUUGAAGUAGUUUGGAGGCCUUCUUCUAGUUAUGAAUAGCCCUCGUCUGUCACUAUAGAUGUUCUAGCUUUAGUCUUCAGUGUCAUUUUUAGUUAUGCAUUUGGAAUGAUCCCUUUCCAAGCAAACUAAACUAACCUUGCUAAGUGNNNNNNNNNNNNNNNNNNNNNNNNNNNNNNNNNNNNNNNNNNNNNNNNNNNNNNNNNNNNNNNNNNNNNNNNNNNNNNNNNNNNNNNNNNNNNNNNNNNNAUAGGUGGAAAUGGGAAUGGGAUCGCCCGAGAAACCAUUGGAUCUAGGAAAUUGAUUCAUUGUUCUGCCUCUCCCACUGGUGGUGGGUGGCAACCAAAGGACUUGAAUCUAGCGUUUGUUCCGGUUGAGCUUUCAUUCCUUCGAAUAGACGGAUAGCUCUUGGAGGAAGGGAUGAGCUUUUAUCGGAAGGACCUGGCCGAUGCAAUUGAGAGACUGAGAGGAACUGGACUUGGCAGAGGAAUGCAUAGAAAUAUCUGCCUUUGCCAGGAGAAUCCAAACCUGCCUAAUAGCCUAUGAAUGUGGAAUCCCGUUCGUAUUCUUCCUCAAAGCCAUAUUUGCCUUUAUCUGAUUUCAACCUAUUGAUCUUUACUGUGCAUGGAUAUCUUGACUCAUGAUUCAACAGUUCACAUCCCCAGCGAACUCCCUCACACCAAUUGGCAUUAAAGAGGAGCUGUGCCAAAAAGUGCCAUAGCAUAUAUUAUUGCUUGCGCAAAGAUCGGAAUCAUACCUCUAGCAGGCAUUUUCUGUUACCUAAACAGCUGUCAUUUCUACUUUACUGAAAUAGAGACUUUCAUUGAUACUUGAACUAUUGACCUGGCUAGCGCUAACGCUUUGCAAGGUAAUUGGAGACUGGUCCGCUUGAAAUCGCUNNNNNNNNNNNNNNNNNNNNNNNNNNNNNNNNNNNNNNNNNNNNNNNNNNNNNNNNNNNNNNNNNNNNNNNNNNNNNNNNNNNNNNNNNNNNNNNNNNNNUGAUUUUAUUGGGACGCUAGUGAGUUAAUGAGCACUCUUUGCAUGGUUCCAUCAACCCUUUUCUUGCGUGUUCUGAAUCGACUUCUCAUCUAUAAAGAAGAGAUGCCCCGUAGAAGACUCCAGGCCACCGAAGCUAACAAAAGGCUAAGGACACCCAUUUAGUUCUUUGUUCUUAUGCCGACUAAAGCUAGCGGAGCCACAGCUUGAAUCUCCCUAGAAAUCCCCACUCGUAGCCCGACGGCUGGGUUUGUUAAGCAUAUUCGAUUGGAAGCUCUUCUUCACCGGGUUAAGCGAUGGUAGUUUUAGGCUUGGCUUAUCACCAUAUCCAACCCGAAUUCCGUAGUUCGAAAGGAGAAUUAGGCUACCUGAGAACAACUGAUUAUCCAAAACAUGAGACUGCUUUCUUAGCAAAGCUUUGCUUGGCUCAACUUAGUCUCUAUCUCUAAUGGCUAGACCAAGACCCCUGGUCGGAUACUUUUAUUGACCUCUUGCUGUUUGCAAAAAAGCUAUCCAGAUUUCAAUAAGUCUUGUCAUCCUUGCAUGUUUUUGACCUGGCAUGCUUCUUGCUUUCUUUUCGUAAGAACCGGCGUUGAAGAGGAGUGUGAUGCCAGGGGAAGUCGACUCGGUUACCGGGUCUGUCCUGUGAGGGAUCGUUAUAUAGUUUUCAUCUGGUAGGUCUUCUUACUUAUGAUGCCUGGAACUUUAACUAGAACUGGGCAUUCCUCAACCGAAACAAUUAGAGAACUAGUUAUUCCCGCGGGACACGAACUUACAUGAAACUAAACUUUAAAAACAAGUUUACUUUCGUUAGAAAAUAGAAAAACCAACGGAAAAGAAAGUCUCAUGUUGCUCCUCAGAAAACGCGUAGAAUAGUCUCAUUGGCCCUCGUCGAUGGGACAAUCCAGUGUAUGCGUUACAAGGCAACUAGCAUUUAGUUCGUGAAAGAAUGUUUCGUUGGAAAAACCAACGCCGACGUCAAGAUCAGUCUCCUUUCUCUUUUCGGGAGCAGAGCUGAAAAAGAUGGGAAAUUCCAAUGAUUCUUCGUUCAUUAGAAUGUCGAUUCCUCACAAUCGCUCUUUGUGAUGCUGCGGAACCAUGGCAAUUAGGAUCUCAAGACGCAGCAACACCUAUGAUGCAAGGAAUCAUUGACUUACAUCANNNNNNNNNNNNNNNNNNNNNNNNNNNNNNNNNNNNNNNNNNNNNNNNNNNNNNNNNNNNNNNNNNNNNNNNNNNNNNNNNNNNNNNNNNNNNNNNNNNNUCACUCUACUCUCCCAAAUCCACUUUCUAGUAUGAAGUGAUAUGCUCUCUUAGCUCUUUUGGAGAAUGUAUAGAUUUCUCACCAUCUUCCUUGAUAGAAAUGCUAUUCUUUCUUUUCCUCCCAUUUGCUUUUUUAUGGAAAUAAGCAGUGUCCCUUUAGCAGCCACUCUACUGUUCACCUCCUCUUUUCUGCCAAUAUAACUCUUCCAUCUCACAAAUUUGGACCAAUUGAGCUUCCAAUUCAUAUCUUAGCCUCCAUUCAUUAGGAUUUAGCUGUGUAGUUUCGGCUUUAAUAUCAAUGACAGACAUAUAGCAGUAAUUAGAUUGGAUUUACUUCUUCUAUUGUCAGUAGCAUCAUUUGCCUUCCACCCUCUCAAGAACUUCCUGAAGCCCUGAGACACUUGUUGCCAAUAGUCUGGAAUGGAACAUUUGCAACAGUUCUUGUAGGCCAUUUCUGUAACAGCAUAUCUCUAAACCCUUCUUGCGGAUGGUUCAAAACGAAACUUAGUGGCAGCCCCUAUCUUCCCCAUUUUCUAGAAGUAAAGGACAAUGAUCUGACCCAGCUUGCAAGAGGGAUAGUAAAACUUAGGAAAUAAAUCCUCAUAAGUUGAAGAAACCAGAACUCUAUCCAAAACUUCUCUCACUGGCCUGUCUUGUUUGUUAGUCCAGGCCACCAACCCUUCUCAGUUCCUGUAGUUUAGUUUCAGAUAUGAAAGCAUUAAAAGCUUCCAUCCUAUUAAUAUGUAUUCUGCCAUUGUUUCAUGAGCAAAUCUGAUCAUGUCCCGCAAAGGUAGAUCAACACUCUGCANNNNNNNNNNNNNNNNNNNNNNNNNNNNNNNNNNNNNNNNNNNNNNNNNNNNNNNNNNNNNNNNNNNNNNNNNNNNNNNNNNNNNNNNNNNNNNNNNNNNCUCCUUCUCAUGAGCAGCUAACUUCUUUUUCUGAGCAGCUUCAUAAAGCAAUGCUUGAGCAAGUUCUCUUGCUUUAAUAGAAUUUAUAGACCUGUCAAUUUCCUCCUGUGUACUGCCCAACACUAGACCACUAUCUACAGCAGAUUUUACUAGACUAGCAGAAUCAAUGGAAUUGCAAAUAGCAUAUCUGUUAGUAGAAGACAUACCUGGUUCAUCAAGAUUCUUGCGUGAAGCCAUCCUUUCUGCACGUUGCUGAAUAGGCAUGCCAUCCUUCGGGAUCCUAUCCUAGCACUUGUCCUCGUUGCUUUAAUUCUUGCGUUUGCACCUCAUUGAACUUCUCUUGUUCUUUGGUCAUUCCAGAAAAAACCUCCAUACCUUAAUAAUAGGGGCUUGUGUAUAAAGGAAAGCAGCAAACCGGUCAAAGGCGAAGCUGUUCUAUCUCAACUCUCUGACUUGAAGGAAGAUGUGGCGGAUCUCAAGGCUGGCUCUAUUCCAAGUACAAGUUUCGAGGUGAAAUGUGUUGAUGUGGCCAAUCGAUAUACAGUAUAGUUGAAUGGUUCGACAAGUUCACAUGCCGGAGCUACCUGUUCUCCGCGAUUCAAGUUGGUUCUUCUGCCCCGCUCCACCAGAAUUGUGCAGACAUCGACACUAGCUUCUGACAAGUACCCUUUGAUAACUGAAAACAGCUCAUGCUGUAGGUUGGCAUCGCCUGAAUGACUGCCUUUAUUAGCGUUUCCUUUCCAUGCAUGCGUUCUUUCUCUCCUCCCCUCAGCCACACAUCUUUUUCGUUCGCUCCCCAUUUUAUUCUCUAAGGAACCCUCUCCUUAAUGAGCGUAGAUUGAUGGAGAUGGCUUUUGUACCGGUCAAUCUUUAUAUCCUUUCUGGCAUAGUUUUGUAAAAGAUCGGCAGAUGAUCCGUCCUUUCUCCUCUGCCGUGGUUCAUGCAUUCUUCCUUUUUGGAAAGCGGAUAGGGAUCGGGUGAAUUAGAGAAUAGACAGACGUCCGUUGGCAUUUCAGCCUUUCUUCUCCUUUCAGGGCCUAUCCGAAAGAGAAUCCAGUACCUCUUGGUCCUAAAUAUCAGAAUAGGACGCGCAACAACGGAACAACAAGAGCAAGACCGCUCCAAACUAAAUCACAGUAGAAGUUAUGGCCACUCAGGCUGGACCAAAACAGCAAGCGGAAGGUCUCCGAAAGUCCUACAUUAGCACCAAGCCAUCCCCCAAGGGAGGGUAUAACGGAGUGUGGUAAAAUCCAGUUGCUAACGCUCCCGGCUGUGGGUUCUUCACAAUUAGCAGGGCUUCUAUUCUAGUACAGAGAUCACCACUUGUUAUGCCAGGGUCUCCUUUUUCGAGUUGGUUACUGUCUUGUUGAGCAACGUUUUCCCGGCAAUCUCCGCUUAUUAGGGUGGCCUCUAACAGGUCGGGAGAGUACUAAAAAUCUGGCUCAUACGCCUCGCAAGAUUGAACAUCUGCGAAAGUCGUCUCGAAGCUCUGACUCUCGAGAGAAAGUAUUGCCUACCAGUGACUUAUUUUACUGAAUAAGAAUGCCUACUGUACUAGCUUCUUUCUUGACUCCAUUAACUCAGUUUACAGAAAGGAAUCCGUCCAGUCCAGUAAGAAGGAAUAGAGAAGAAGAAAGUCACUCAUCAACUCCUACUUUGGUUAUUGAGACUUGCCCGCGUAUCUGACCUAUGUGUACCUAUUCCCUAGCCUAAGUAGCUUACCCACUGUCCUAAUAACUGUCUGUCAAUCCGGCAGCUUGCCCUACUGCCUAUCGACGCUACUGUCCUAAGUCUCCUACUCAUAUACCCAAGGUCAAAGACUUUGCAGGGCAACAAACUGAUUUCGGAAUUGCUUAACUGCUGAGAGCUAAUAUCGGGGAGUAGUAAGCCAGCCCACCACAAGAUGAAUGAGUGCUCCUCUCCUAUGCCGACUUACUAGCCAGGUUGAGCCUUUGAGCCAUAAGAGGAGGGAGAAUCUUGUUGAUUUUCCAGGGAAUGAUUAUAUGGAUUUCAAGGAGGAUAUUGUUACCUUCAUCAGAUUGAUUGAUAACUGGUCGUCGAUUGACAACUACUGCUUUUUCCAGUGAGAAAGGAAGGAGGAAGGGGAUCUCAACAAGCCAUGGAUAUAUAGCCUACAGCCGAGUCCACAAAGAAGACGGUUUCAAAGCUUGAAGAGCAUAUUUGUGAGGCUGAUCCCUAAGUGCAGAGUUUCAUGUGACGAACAACGAAACUCCAUUUCUUCAAACACAACCCUGUGCCACCGACAAACGUUUGACUUUGACUGUGUUUUUUUUGGGCUAUGAAGAUUCUACUUAUACCCAAUGAUGGAACAUUUUGAAAAUAUGUUCAACGGGGUCUUAAGAAAGGCAAAUUUCAGGCCUGUAGUUUUUAAGAUCAUCUCGCUAAUCGAAAGAUGAAGGAUAGCGAACACUAGAUGGCUAGUGGCCUUAUGCAAACAAAGAAGAGGGAUGCCUAACCAAUUGAUCCUAAAAGAUCUUAUUUGAGAUAGGUCAGAUUGGACUUAGUGGCCAACGUUAGGGAUGGUAGAGUCAAUAUGGGAUGUGGAAUUCCAGGAAACGUUCUUAUCCGCGCUCACUGAUAAUGUGAACCUGGUCCUUAGUUUCCUCCAACUGAUUCCUGUUUUUUUGAGCCUUUUUCAGUAAGUCCUUAAUAGCUAAAAAUGCUUUGACUCUAAGGGUUACCUUGGUACCUUUAUUCGGAUAUGCUUCUUUUCGGACAGGAGGGGCAGAUUGACAUUCAGGCAAUGGCACAUGGAUUCUAUUGAGAAGGGUUGGCUGCUCUCGACGACGGGGUGGGGGAAUGAGAUGCUGGGAGAUGGGAGUUAUUGGUGGAUUGAGAGGGGAGCAGAUGCAUGGGCUAGUUCAAUCUUUUUGCUCCUGCCUUCCUAGCCUUAUGGACAGGAGUCCUCUGGCCUAGUCCUGAAACUCUUCCCGCAGCCUUCCUUGCCCUUAUUGCCCGGCAUACCUCGGAAGGCAUACCCUGGAACCAAUUCAUUCAUCUGCCCUCUUCGCGAUAAAGCUUUGCCUUACUUUGCUUGCUGGCUCUAAGCCCACCUCCUUUACUACACUACACCCUCUCACCGCCCCUAUUCAGCCCGAAAGGCUUCUAACUUCCCCGAAACCUUACUUAUUCAGGGCAAGAUUCGGAACUUAGGGUCACUGCCUUUCAUCCGCCUUUCUCUCAUAUGCUUAGAACCUAUCCAUAGAAAUGGAAUUCAAAACUUCGGAAUAGUUUCGAGGAGAGCCGAGAGGACAUGUUCAAGGAGUAGUGUAAAGUAGCAGACAGAGGGGCGCUCCCGCUUAGGCAUUAGGCAUUAGGCACGAGAAAGGACAUCGUUCUCGGCCGUCCCUUCCUUCCCGGAAAAAGGCUCUCUUGCAUCUUUUGCUUCCCCACCCGGCCUCUAUUCUAGAUUCACCGUCUUCGGAUGCAUCAGUUUAUUAUGCUUAUGCCUAAUCUUAAUACUGGCUAGUUACUUCAAUUACCUUACCCCACCGCCCCUCCUUUUAAGGAGGUUUCAGAGCACCCAGUCACAGCUCGUCACAAGAAAGGAUUGAUGGUCGAGUCCCCGUGCAUGAAGUCAGUGGAUUCGAGUGAACUGACCGUACUACAAAUCGACAUACUUGAGGAAGCUUCUUACUAAACCAAAGAAAGGGCAACUCCAGUUGUGUUGUCGAUUCCCUUCUCCCGAGAGCUUUCACACUCUGGGAUGGGAGUCCCUUCNNNNNNNNNNNNNNNNNNNNNNNNNNNNNNNNNNNNNNNNNNNNNNNNNNNNNNNNNNNNNNNNNNNNNNNNNNNNNNNNNNNNNNNNNNNNNNNNNNNNUAUUUUAAUUUUGAAGGAGUUUCACAUAUUCUACGGUACUACAUACAUGCAUAUGAAUGUACAAUUUCAAACAAAUUUGAAAUUAGAACCAAAAAGAAUUCAAGAGGAAUAUACAAUAUAUAUUCAAUAUCAUCGGAUGACCAUAUACAAUUUUGAACAAGUUUCCAUACAUAAUUUAAUGCAUAUGAAGUUCUACGUCCUCGUAAUGGUGUUCUCCUUUACGAUGGAGGACUUCCCUCCUGAACCAUCCAGCUAGUUCCUCUUGAAGUGGUCGGAAGCGAGCUUCUGGACUAAGCAUCACCCGGAGGUUAUUCCGCUGAGCAUUGGUAUCACUCGGAACCCGCUCAGAGGUGUAUCUCCGGAUCAUCUCACAGACAUAGUAUCCACAUAGAUUGGUCCCCGCUGGCUGAAUAUCCCCACCAUUCUUAGCCUUUGACCUUUUGAAUUCUAGCUCUUUUUUGAAUUCACCGACCUUUGUAUCUACGAACCGUCUCCAAACCCUACGAGGCAAAGAAAAUUAAAUGAACAAGAGAGUUAUUAGUUACUUGAUAUUAGGAAAUGAACGAAAUAGGCCGAUCGAUAUAGAGCGCAAAUGAAUGAAAAUAAUUACUUCUGCAGCAUUCUUCUCAUGCCGCCCCAAAGCUUUGGAUCCAUAUUCAGAGAGUCGUGGACGAGACAUUCUGAGGUGUCAACUUUAAUUACUAGCAGAAUCCAGUGGAACCUGCGGACACGAUACAUGCACAGUACGUCAUGCAUAACUCAUCGAUUAGCCGGCCACAUAUCAUGCAUGGAGUAAACAAAAGAGAAUGUGCUCAAGACAGAAACACUCACCCAAAAUGGUAAGGAAAUAGAAUAUCACUUUUGAGUUCCUGCUUUGUAAGAAACUGCCACAGGUCUGCCUCCAUGUAGGCGGGGUGAUGCUCCAACACAUAUCCAUUAACGAUGUGUGGGUCAAUGAACCCAACAUCAUGGAUGUUCCUUACUCUGCAUUCCUUAAUCUUCAUUCUGCAUGUAUAAUAGCGGACACAACAAUAUAGUUACGACAUAUAUAUAGUGCAGGCAAUAUGAACGAGAUGGGGUAUAAAUAAAUCACUUACAGAACGUAGCAACUGAUGAUAGAUUUGUCGAGCUCGCGCAGAUUGAAAAGCUGGAACAAUUCACUCAGAUGAAUUUGUACAUAGUAAUGUUUGAAGUGAUGCUCAUAUCUAACUUCCGCAUAAAUAUAAUCUUUGGCGUUUUUAUUUUUUAUGUAACCCUUGUACCAUUUCAGCAGACCUUUCAUUUGUGGAGGUAGAUCCUCUUCCUGCGCAGGCUCGACGAGAGGCCCAUUCUUCACAUAUGUAAUUACUACCUCCUUCACUGGCGCCUCAUCAAGGCCUAACAUUUCACGAAGAGUAAUACCUAAGUUGGCCGCUUGUUCUCUGGCACUCGUUACAGUCAAUCCAUGUGCUGCCGCAGCUGCUAUGAUAUCGGGGUCAUCCGGACCGGCGGCUUUCACUAUAAGCGGGGCAAUCGAUUGUUUACUUUGUUCCCCGAGCUGGGCAACUCGUUUCCCGCUUUUUUUACUUUCUAAUUCCGUUUUCUCGGCCUCCUCCAAGGCUUUGUUCUCCUGGUUCUCCGCCCGCUCUUUCUUCUCCUUCAACAUGAGUGCCUGCCUACGAAGUUCACGUGCAUAGUCGUCAGGCAGAUUCUUCGCGGCUUGGGACGGUGUGCUCAAAAAUGACUUAGCCCACUUCUUUUGCUCAUCAGAAAAUACUGGCUUGGGCUCGGGCUCUCUUUUCUUCUUGCAGUUCGCCUUCCAUUUCUCAUGAUCAGCAGCCGCCCUCGCGGCAGUUUCCUCGGCACUACGUUCCCAAGGCCUUGUGGGGAGAGGCUUCAGUGAUGGCUCCGGUACCUUUGUGGUCUUAGGUACAUAAGGGUCCGGGUUAAUAAUCCAGGACUGCUUCUGCUUCUUUGCCGGAGGUGGAUUGGGGGGUGGCGUCUGAUCACCCGCCGGACGAGGACUGGGGGGCGGCGUCUGAUCACCCGCCGGACGUUGUGGACUGGGGGGCGUCGGCUGACGUGACGGAGGUGUAGGUGAACCGUCACCACCACCACCACCACCACCACCGCCACCGCCACCACCACCACCGUAGGGGGGUGGACUUGUUGUCCUUGGCGCCUCGCCUGGAAACUUGAUAAACUUCUUUUGCCAUAGAAUGAAAUGGCGCUUGACAUCUCCAAGUCUUUUCUCCCCUUCAGGUGUAGCAAUGUCAAUCUCCAGGUCCUCAAACCCUUGGACUAUGUCCUCCACCGUGACACGAGCAUAGCCAUCUUGAAUGGGGUUGUUGUGGUGGAGUGCUCCAGGUAAACAUGGUAAAGCACUGCCGAUGGCUACCUUCAUGGACAUGUUCCCGAUAGGAUAAUACAGAUGACAUUCUUUCAUCUCCUUUAUAUCGUCCACGGGGUAGCGAGGAGGCUCCGGUGCAGUAAUUUCGACCACCAGAGGCUCCGGUGCAGUAAUUUCGUUCGUCGGUGCAUCUGCACCAGCUGGUGGGGCCUCCGUGGAAGCCACGCUGCUUCUCCGCUGCUGGCUUCCGAGAUCCGCUGGAUGAUCUUCAUGCUGCGCCCGAACAUCUCUUUCGGCUAAUAGUACACUCACGGUUUUCUUCAUCACAUCCAUUUCCGAUGCCAACCGUGCCACAACAUCUGCUUCCCGAUCCAUCUUUCUCUUACGGCUUCUGUAACCGUACGGGUCAUCGUUCUGGGGGAACCCUAUUUUCCACGGAAUGUUCCCCAUGCCUCGUACACGUCCUCCGUGUUCAGGAUUCCCGAGGGCUUUUGUCAGCGCGUCGUUCUCUCUGUUGAACUUGAUCUUCCCCUCUUGAGCAUCCCUCAUUGCGUCAAUAAGGGCUUGGGUGGGUUUAAUUAAUUUGCCCCGGUAAACACACUCCCCUGUCUCCGGGUUCAGCGUUCCCCCAUGCCCGUACCACCAGCUUUUGGCCCUUUGGUCCCAUCCCUCCGUACCUGGACGGAUUCCUCGCGCCCUCAGCUCGUUCUCCAUCUUCUCCAACCUAGGCACCCAAAUGCGAUACCCUCCUGGCCCCAUAAUAUGAUUGUACUCCUUCUUAGCCGCAUUUUCCUUAUUUCUUUUCGAUAUUUGAAUGAACUGCUCCGAUUUCUUUUGCUUCACAAAUUCUGGCCAAUCAUGUUUCAGUUUCUCAUAUUGUCCUUUGAAAUCCGGAGUCUUGUUCUGCUUGACAAAGUCAUGGGCUAGAUUUUGCUUGAAUUUCCGGAAUGCGUCGGCCAUCUUAUGAAGAGCGAACUGUUUGACUAGCCUCCUCCUCUCCUUGUUUUCCUCAAUCUUGUUACCCUCCUCAUCGAAUUUGUUGUAUUCCGGAGGUAGAACGAAAUGUUCCAUAAGCUUCUUGAAGCAAUCUUUUUUUGUUCUCUUAUCGACAAAAGUGAAACCAGCAUUUCGUGCCUUCUUUGGCUCAUUCCACUCCUGGACGGUGAUCGAGACGUUGUCUCUAACAACGGCUCCGCAUUGGCUGACAAACUUGGUGGCGUUCUUGCGGGGCUCCAGCGGCCUGCCGGUUGCACUGUCGACAACCUCGAUGGUGCAUGUUUCUCCUUGUUUCAUCGUCUUGGUUGCGCCACGCUUUGACGACGUACUCGAUUGUUUCGACGAUCCGGCCGAGGGCUAAAAUAAGAAAGAGAGUCGCGCGCGUUAGUACACACGUAUUUAUUCAAAUCAGUUAGUUUGUAUCACCAGAGGCUCAAUGUAUAUAUAUACCUCGGCGCCGGAGGUGGUUGCUACUUCCAUUUGAAGAUCGUCGUUUAUCGACGUUUGUUCGGCAUCAUCUUGCUGACGGCGCCCUUCAUCUUCACCGUCAAGGUUCAGAUAAGAAGAGAUAUCAUCUUCUUGAUCUUGUCCGGUCGGCACAUAUAGAAUAUCGCCGUUUAUGAUGCCGAACAUAUGUGCUUCACCGUCCGGAUCAUAGUUGUCCAUAAUCGGGUCAGCUCUAUCGUCCGCCAUUAUGUCAGUCCUGAAAACAUGUAGUAAAAACAAAUUAAUUAAGUGAAGAAGGGGGGCGGUGGCGGUGGCGGUGGCGAAAGGGCGGUGGCAAAAGGAGGGGGUGAGGAAGGGGUCAAACACUCAUGCCCGUCUAUUGACAAGUACCCCCUCUUGUUUGGUUUUACUCCGUGUAUAAAAUUUGACUGAUGUUGAACUUCGUCAAGUUCGAUCGAAUGCGUGUUAAGAAACAUCAAUAUCCACAACACUAAAGUUUAACUUCAAACGAAUCAUGUAAAAAAAGGAACGAAGGGAGUACUGCAUCGCCUGUCGCUAGAAAGGAUAAGCGUUAAACCUUGAGCUUUGAUCUCUGUUAGGCUAGGAUGCAAUCACCAUCGGUCGGGUGCCAUGCUACUGAUUGAAACAACAGCCUAUAACGGUCUCGGAUCCAACUUGGGCUCAUGUUCUGAGAUCACUUUACAUUUUUUGACAAAACAAAUUGACAUCAGAUGAUUAUACAUUUUUAUUGUCUGUUUGUUUGCCAUAUUGUGUGUUUUUUCAUCUUAAUAAUGUUAAUUUUACGAACUUGUCUAAACAAGACUAAUACGGUUUUAUUCAACUAUUACUUAUCCAUUAACUCAUUUUUAUGCCUGACGUGCAAAGUGAUAUUAGCGUGUUAUAGCCCACCAGAGGUAAACAACCCACACCAUUUUCUAAAAUAUUUUUUCAGAAUAGAUUGUUGUUAGAUUCUAGAGUGGUGGGUUUAGUGCCAAAUAGUCAACGUCAUUGUGGAAAAUAAGAAAAAUGCACAAUAUUCAUCAUCUAUUUCUUAAUCAAUGGAAUGUGACACCAUGACACAUUUAGUCGCGCGCCCAAGUUGGAUCCGAGACCGUUAUAGACAUACUUUAGAACGUAGAUUCACUCAUUUUGCUUCGUAUAUACUCAUCUAAUGAAAUCUAUAAAAAAAAACUUAGAACGUAGAUUCACUCAUUUUAGGAACGGAGGGAGUAUACUAAGUGAAUCAAGUAUCCAACGGUGCAUCAAGGUUAACGGCAAUCAAGAUUCAUAGUGCAAUUCUUCAAUCCUUCUUGCACUUGCACAUAGGUUAACGGCGCCGUACGUGGGCGAGAAGGCCGGCGGCGAGGGCGAGGGGCGACGGCGGGCGGCGUACGUGGCCGGGCAAGGGUGACGGCGGGCGGCGAGGGCGGCGUCGAGGGCGAGGGCGACGGCGGGCGGCGAGGGCGGCGUCGAGGGCGAGGGCGACGGCGGGCGGCGAGGGCGGCGUCGAGGGCGAGGAUCGGAGAAGACGAGAAUCGGAGAAGACGGCGGCAGGCCUUGUAUUUAUAACCCCCACCUUUAGUCGCGGUUGGAUAAACCAACCGCGACUAAAGGGUUUUUUCGUUCCGGCGCGCAACGACCUUUAGUCGCGGUUGGUCUGGCCAACCGCGACUAAAGGUAUUUUUCAAAAUACUUUUCUUUUUCAAUAUCUUAAAAAUACAAAUAAUAUAUCAAAAAAUUCAGAAAAAUAAAACUAAUUCAAUUCAAUAUGUUAAAAACACAAAAAUUAUAUCAAAAAAUUAAGAAAAAUAAAACUAAUUCAAUUCAAAAUGUUAAAAAUACAAAUAAUAUAUCAAAAAAUUCAGAAAAAUAACACUAAUUCAAUUCAAACGUCCUUAUCCCACCGACAGUUUUCUUAGAUGACACAAAAACCACAUUUAGUCCCGGUUGCACCAACCAGCCGGGACUAAAGGUUAGAUGACCAGCUCUGGAUUCCUCUUCUUCCCGCCAUUUCUUCCCUGUCUUCCCGCCUCUUUCUUCCCGCCACUUUCUUCCCGCCUCCUGUCUUUCCGCUCCCAUUUUUCCCGCCAUUUCUCACUACAUAUAUGUAGCCCGGCUUGGCCAGCAUUAUCACAUCUCUACAAUCUCUCAUCACUCUCUCAUGGCUUCCACCGCACCCACUCUAACCUACCAGCAGGUGGAGGAGCUUUGCGCCUCGAACUACCCUUGUCCACCGGGCUACCGCGUCCCCACCGGCUGGAGCCUAAGCGCCGGCGGCGUGCCGGUCCCUCCCGUCCCUCAGGGUACUGCGCGUCGGGCGGCCAUCACGAACCACUACUACCUCGACCUCACGCCGGAGCAGCGGAUGAAUCCCCGCUGGCAUCCCGAUAACCAGCAUACUUGGGACGCCUUCUUCAUCAAUCGGCGUGAAAGGGCGCUCGCCAGGUAUGAGGAGGACGGUCUGCCUCCUGGGAACUUCCACGAGGCCGGCCGUCGGCUAUGGUGGUACGGCCGGACUCUGCAGAGCGUCAUGGACUACAUCACGGCCGGCGAUAUCCCCCGCCUGCGCUACCCUCAGUUCGAGCCACGAGCGCCGCCCGACGACAGCAGCGACGACGACGGCGGCAACUUAGAAGGCGACGACUACCAGUACAACGACGACAGCAGCUAUGAAGACUACGAGUAUGCAUAUUAUACGCCUAGGCAGGAGUAUGACUAAAUCACUCCAAAUUUCAUGUAUCAUCAUUGGUAUCUCGAAUCAUUCGAAAAUGGACACCAAACACAUCACGGGUAAUAUAAUUCACAUGAUCCAUUCAACAAAGUUUGGUACAAUAAAUUAUUACACAUCAUUUCUUCCCUUGUGUCCCUGCUUGCUUACGAUUGUGCCGUAUCCAUGGAGCAUCCUCAUCAUUUAACUUAAUGCUUGGGUCGGUGUUCACUUUGAAGGGCGGAAUUUCAGCAAACAUAUUAUAAUCUUCUGACAUGUCUGUCUUGUCCUCCACUCCCACGAUGUUUCUUUUCCCUGAAAGAACAAUGUGGCGCUUUGGAUCAUCGCAUGAUGUACUGAUCGUUUUCUUAUCUUUCUGUUUCCUCGGUUUGCUACUCAUGUCCUUCACAUAGAAAACCUGAGCGACAUCUUUCGCUAGGACGAAUGGUUCGUCAAGGUAAACAAGAUUGUUGAAAUCCACCAUUGUCAUUCCGUAUUGCUGGUCCACCUUUACCCCACCUCCUGUUAGCUUGAACCAUUUGCACCGGAACAAAGGGACCUUAAAGGAGGGUCCAUAGUCAAGUUCCCAUAUCUCCUCUAUGUAACCAUAAUAUGUGACCUCUUGCCCAUUCUCGGUUGCUGCAUCAAAGCGGACACCACUGUUUUGGUUGGUGCUCUUUUUAUCUUGGGCGAUCGUGUAAAAUGUAUUCCCAUUUAUCUCGUACCCUUGGAAAGUCGUUAUAGUCGAAGAUGGUGUCUUGGCCAACAUGUACAGCUGAUCUACAACAUCAUUGUCAUUCAUUAAAUGUUUUCUCAACCAACUGCCGAAAGUCUCCAUGUGGGCCUUCCUAAUCCAGGAUUCAGGCUUCCCCGGGUUGUCCGAGCGUAAAAUAUUCUUGUGUUUCUCAAAGUACGGAGCCACCAAGCUGGAAUUGGUCAGUACAGUGUGGUGUGCUUCAGUCAGAGAAUGGCCGUCCAUACAUAUCGUUGAUUUCCUUCCGAUCGUGCCUUUUCCACUUAGUCUCCCCUCGUGCCGCGAUCGAGGAAGACCAAUCGGCUUAAGGUCAGGAACAAAGUCAACAUAAAACUCAAUUACCUCCUCAUUUCCAUAGCCCUUGGCGAUGCUUCCUUCUGGCCUAGCACGGUUACGAACAUAUUUCUUUAAUACUCCCAUGAACCUCUCGAAGGGGAACAUAUUGUGUAGAAAUACAGGACCGAGAACGAAAAUCUCUUCGACUAGGUGAACCAGGAGGUGCGUCAUAAUAUUGAAGAAGGAUGGCGGGAACACCAGCUCGAAACUGACAAGACAUUGGAUCACAUCGUUCUGUAACCGUGGUAGAACUUCUGGAUUGAUUACCUUCUGAGAGAUUGCAUUGAGGAAUGCACAUAGCUUCACAAUGGCUACUCGAACAUUUUGCGGCAGGAGCCCCCUCAAAGCAAUCGGAAGCAAUUGCGUCAUAAUCACGUGGCAGUCGUGAGACUUCAGGUUUUGGAACUUUUUCUCCGCCAUGUUUAUUAUUCCCUUUAUAUUGGACGAGAAUCCAGACGGGACCUUCAUACUGCUCAGGCAUUCAAAAAAGAUGACCUUCUCUUCUUUGGUCAGAGCGUAGCUGGCACGACCUUGAAACCAUUCCGGAUGCCGGUCAUCAGGGUCUUUCAAACGUUGCUGGUCCUGCCGUGCUUCCUUUGUAUAAUUUGUCUUCCCAUACACGCCCAAGAAGCUUAGGAGGUUCACGCAAAUAUUCUUCGUAACGUGCAUCACGUCGAUUGCAGAGCGGACUUCUAGGACUUUCCAAUAUUCUAGCUCCCAGAAUAUAGAUUUCUUCUUCCACAUGGCUGCGUGCCCGUCAGCUCCCUUCGGAACUGAUUGUCCGCCAGGACCCUUUCCAAAGAUGACUUUCAAAUCCUUGACCAUAUCAAAUAACUCAGCACCAGUGCGUUCCGCAGGCUUCGGCCGGUGAUCUGCCUUGCCGUUGUAAUGCUUGCCUUUCUUUCUUACUAGAUGAAUUUUCGGAAGAAAUCGACGAUGCCCAAGGUACACGUUCUUCUUACAAUUUGGCAAAUGUACACUUUCAGUCUCAUGUAAGCAGUGCGUGCAUGCAUUGUAUCCCUUAUUUGACAGUCCCGAAAGGUUACUAAGAGCAGGCCAAUCGUUGAUGGUUACGAAAAGCAACGCUCGUAGGUCAAAUUCCUCUUCUUUGUGCUCAUCCCACACACGGACACCAGGUCUGCCCCACAGCUGUAAAAGUUCAUCAACUAAUGGCCUUAGGUACACAUCGAUGUCGUUGCCGGGUUGCUUCGGACCUUGGAUGAGCACUGGCAUCAUAAUGAACUUCCGCUUCAUGCACAACCAAGGAGGAAGGUUGUAGAUGCAUAGAGUCACGGGCCAGGUGCUAUGGCUGGAGCUCUGCUCGCCAAAAGGAUUCAUGCCAUCUGUACUUAGACCAAAUCUUAUGUUCCUUGCGUCAGCUGCAAAAUCUUUGAACUCUCUGUCGAUCUUUCUCCAUUGCGUUCCAUCUGCGGUGUGUCUCAACUCCCCGUCCGACUUACGGUCCUCUUUGUGCCAUCGCAACAACUUGGCAUGCUCUUUGUUCCUGAACAAACGUUUCAACCGUGGUAUUAUAGGAGCAUACCACAUCACCUUGGCGGGAACCCUCUUCCUGGGUUUCUCGCCCUCAACAUCGUCACCAGGGUCAUCGCCUCUGAUCUUAUAACGCAAUGCAGUGCAUACCGGGCAUUCAUUCAAAUUCUCGUAUUCACUGCGGUAGAGGAUGCAGUCGUUGAUGCAUGCAUGUAUCUUCAGAACCUCUAAACCUAGAGGGCAUACAACCUUCUUUGCUUCGUACGUACUGGCGGGCAACUCGUUAUUCUUUGGAAACAUAUUCUUCAACAUUUUCAGCAAGUUUUCAAAUGCCGAGUCAGCUACACCUGCCUGUGCCUUCCAUUUCAGCAAAUCCAGUGUGCAGCCCAGCUUUUUCAGACCAUCAUCGCAUCCGGGGUACAACGACUUUCUGUGAUCCUCUAACAUGCGAUCCAAAUUCUCCCUCUCCUUUUCAGUUUCGCAGCGUCUCCGUGCAUCAGCAAUGGUCCGACCAAGAUCAUCAACGGUCUCAUCACGUGCCUCUUCUUCACCUUCACCUUCCCCUUCACCUUCCCCUUCACCUUCAGCAUCCUCCAUGAAAGUAUCACCGAAAUGAGCAAGAUAGCUUUCAUCCAUGAAAUCAUCCCCUUCUUCAUCUUCUUCCAUUAUAACCCCUCUUUCUCCAUGCUUGGUCCAACAAUUAUAGCUUGGCAUGAAACCGUGCCGAAGCAGGUGCAGGUGAACUUGUCUUGAGGAAGAGUAACCCUUCUGAUUCUUACAGUCAACACAUGGACAAAUAACAAAACCCUUCUGCUUGUUCGCAUUAGCCACUACGAGGAAAUCUUUCAAACCCGUAGUGAAUUCGCGGGAGAGUCGGUUACCGUACAUCCAUUGCCGAUUCAUCUGCAUUAUUAUAAUAUAAAAUAUAUAAUUAACCAUCAUGCAUUUGUUAAACUAACUAGCUAUAAACAAUAGAAAUUAAACAAUGAACAACACACAUGCAUAUAUAUUUUAUCAAUGACACACAUGCAUGAAAGGUUCAAGUUGCUAACCGCGAUCGAGGAGGAAAAAAUAAAUGAGGAACCUCAAGUGUGGCUCCAACACUUCAUAUCAUGUUUGUUUCACGCUCUUGGGGCAUUUCAUCAAACACCUUGUGUGCAUAAGAGGAACCAAAAGCAAACCUACACCCCCUUGUGAAGCUUGUGAAGAGAAGUGGCACCAAAUGGCUAAGUGAGUGUGCUGAACUGGUAUCUAUAGGGGAGGAGAUUUAGUCGCGGUUGGCAUGGCAAACCGCGACUAAAGGCCUUUGGGCACCUUUAGUCGCGGUUGGCCUGGCCAACCGCGACUAAAGCCCCUCACGUGCACCAGCUGGCCACCGAGCGCCCUGGCCCAGGCCUUUGGUCGCGGUUCGUCUGCCGAACCGCGACUAAAGAAAUCAUUAGUCGCGGUUCCUACAGUGUCGCGACUUAUGGGGCUGGACGGAAGCCUCUUUUUCUACCAGUGUAGCCCACAGACCAAAUAUGAGAAGUGAUGUUUUGAAAGCUUCUUAUUGAGUCUAAUACUAUCCUUUUGAAAUUCUUGGUCCUCAGAUCUGAUACCAUAACCAGCAUCUACAUGCUCAUGCUGCAAACUAUCACAUAGGUCCUAUUUCAGGUUCAUUUACUUUCUCAAAUAAGUAACUUUGUCUAAUGUUCCCCGAACGAGUAGUUAAAACAACCACCCCCUGAUCCGAAAGGAAUGGGUGUUCCUGAGGCUUAUUCAAAGGGGUGCCAGCGCUACUACUUGAUUGAGUGCCAGCACGUAGCUGUGCUUUCAGCAAGAAUUUCACCAUUGGGAGCCGGUGCCUUUCGAAGCACUUUCACGUGUGAACCGAAGUCGUCUUGCCCAAGACCCACGGAGACCUACCUAUAGUGACGUCAAAGUACCAGUGAGCAUGGAGGUUUGGUUGAAAUUGGUUACGACGACGUCGAGUUGGCGGCGGAGGAAGACUCGGCAUGAAGGCCAGCCGCCCGGUGGUGUGGUACGUAGUGGUAAUAGUACGCGCCCCGCUCCGAAACAAAGAAAAAGGUGCGUGCCGCNNN